AGAGUUUGAUCCUGGCUCAGGACGAACGUUGGCGGCGUGCCUAAUACAUGCAAGUCGAGCGAGCUUGCCUAGAUGAUUUUAGUGCUUGCACUAAAUGAAACUAGAUACAAGCGAGCGGCGGACGGGUGAGUAACGCGUGGGUAACCUGCCUCAUACAGGGGGAUAACAGUUAGAAAUGACUGCUAAUACCGCAUAACCGCACAGGACCGCAUGGUCCGGUGUGAAAAACUCCGGUGGUAUGAGAUGGACCCGCAUCUGAUUAGCUGGUUGGUGAGGUAACGGCCCACCAAGGCGACGAUCAUUAUCCGGCCUGAAAGGGUGAACGGCCACAUUGGGACUGAGACACAGACCAAACUCCUACUGGAGGCAGCAGUGGGGAAUAUUGCACAAUGGGGGAAACCCUGAUGCAGUGACACCGCGUGAAGGAAGAAGUAUUUCGGUAUGUAAACUUCUAUCAGCAGGGAAGAAAAUGACGGUACCUGACUAAGAAGCCCCGGCUAAUUACGUGCCAGCAGCCGCGGUAAUACGUAGGGGGCAAGCGUUAUCCGGAUUUACUGGGUGUAAAGGGAGCGUAGGCGGUUUAGCAAUUCAGAAGUGAAACCCCGGGGUUCAACUCCGGGACUGCUUUUGAAACUGUUGAACUAGAUUGCAGGAGAGGUAAGUGGAAUUCCUAGUGUAGCGGUGAAAUGGGUAGAUAUAUGGAAGACCACCAGUGGGGAAGGGGGUUGUUUGUUCUGCAACUGACGCUUGAGGCUGGAAACCAUGGGUAGCGACCAGGAUUAGAUCCCCUGGUAGUCCAUCCCGUAAACGAGGAGUGCUAGGUGUGGGAGGGUUUCCCCCCUUCAGUGCCGGAGCUAACGCAUUAACCAUUCCGCCUGGGGAGUACGCCCGAAGGUUGAAACUCAAAGGAAUUGACGGGGGCCCGCACAAGCGGUGGAGCAUGUGGUUUAAUUCGAAGCUACGCGAAGAACCUUACCAGGUCUUGACAUCCUGCGCUAACCUUAGAGAUAAGGCGUUCCCUUCGGGGACGCAAUGACAGGUGGUGCAUGGUCGUCGUCAGCUCGUGUCGUGAGAUGUUGGGUUAAGUCCCGCAACGAGCGCAACCCUUGUUACUAGUUGCCAGCAUUAAGUUGGGCUCUCUAGUGAGACUGCCGGUGACAAACCGGAGGAAGGUGGGGACGACGUCAGAUCAUCAUGCCCCUUAUGACCUGGGCUACACACGUGCUACAAUGGACGGUACAACGAGUUGCAAACUCGCGAGAGCAAGCUAAUCUCUUAAAGCCGUUCUCAGUUCGGACUGUAGGCUGCAACUCGCCUACACGAAGUCGGAAUCGCUAGUAAUCGCGGAUCAGCAUGCCGCGGUGAAUACGUUCCCGGGCCUUGCACACACCGCCCGUCA
rnacentral:rRNA from 1 species